CUAAAACAAUCUUUAAUAUAUUUUACAUGCUAAUGAAAAGCUUAACAGGCUACAAUAUUUUAUUGUCGGCUAUUAAUAUAAUUAGUGUAUCCAAUAAUAUUUUUAUCCGUCCACUCCUAAAAUUAGAACGUUAACUUCCCAAAAAUUCUCCUAGCAAUUUUCGUAUAGAAGCUAAUUAAUAUAUUGUCCAAGAACAACAUAUUCUAGCUGGAUAAAUCUUUAAAUGUGUUAAAACUCUCGUUCUCAUCCUCUAUCACCCCGAAUCCAAAACCAAUCUCGUUCUUCUUCUAUUACCGUCGCCACAAACAUAUCACUCGUCCCAUAAUCUGGAAAAGUUUUGCAAACAAAACAACAUCUCUUGGGCAUACCAUUGCGUUGUCGUCCAUAUACUUCACCUUAACUACAUAUUUUAUUUUGACUCCAAAUACACUUCUUCUCUGUUUUUAUUUCAACAGAAAGGGGUAUUAAAAUGUUAAAAGAAGAGAAUUAUAACCGCAGCUACACGGAACGGAGUUGUCCAAGCUCGUUUCUUCACCCGACGCCGUCAUGACUAAGCACACAGAAGGAAACAAAUUUAUUGUAGGUCAGAAGAACAUUCUAACGACAGAGAAAAGAACAUUUAUUUUGUGUCAGGAAUAAUCACCUUGAUUUAUUUCGUCAAGUGUGAGAAGAAUCUCAUCGUUGAGCUCCCUUUUAUACACAAACCUCGAGUACUUGUUCUUGAAACCCUCCCCAAGAAAAACUUUUCGCAUGCAACCCAAUAUCUUUUCUUUUGAUCUUCCUGGCCAUGCAGCCGCUGUGUCAGGUUUUCCUAUGUUUCUACUGGUUCGUGAUGCACAAACAGACACACGUAAAAGAGGUGGGCAAAAGGGCAAUCAUUACUAACCCCCC
rnacentral:lncRNA from 1 species